UACGUAGGGUGCAAGCGUUAUCCGGAAUUAUUGGGCGUAAAGAGCUCGUAGGCGGUUUGUCGCGUCUGCUGUGAAAACCCGAGGCUCAACCUCGGGCCUGCAGUGGGUACGGGCAGACUAGAGUGCGGUAGGGGAGAUUGGAAUUCCUGGUGUAGCGGUGGAAUGCGCAGAUAUCAGGAGGAACACCGAUGGCGAAGGCAGAUCUCUGGGCCGUAACUGACACUGAGGAGCGAAAGCGUGGGGAGCGAACAGG
rnacentral:rRNA from 1 species